CAUGGCUGAAACUCUUUAAGAUGUAUUUGUUAUUUUAUAGCGGCCUUCCAGAUUUCUCCCCCCCCCGCCCCCAAACUCCCAUCCGUCCUGACCAUUAGGAGUUGGAUGUCCAAAAGAAGCUGGAAGGUCUCAAGCUGAGAGGUUGCUUCAGGCAUUGCAGAAUCUUCUAGCUCCAGGCAAUGGGUUCAUAGGCAACUUCUUCAGUGAAACUUGCUUGUAAAAGCUGACCAGGCUUCUGUGGCACCGAGUUCAUGUGUUUAAACCAUUCAUUGAAGGCUUCAUGGGCUUCCUAAAUUGGGUUGGAAAUGUUUAGACAUUUUCAUGUAGUUAUUCUAAUGACACUCUGCAGUUACAAAGACAAUCCAUAAGCUAUUUGUAUAAACAAUGGUCGUCCUUGUGAAUGUGUGUUAAAAAUAGCCAAAAUAUUUCAGCAAACGGUUUGCUAUUUGUGUUUCCAUUUUAAGAAAUGAAAACUGUUCUAGUAAUUUUAGAGCUUAUUGUAGAUGAUAUAUUGCAUCUAAAGACUUACCUGAAUGUAUGUUUUCAAAACGUCCACCGAUACUUCCUCCUUAAUGGAAAAAGUUACUAGGUUUAAUAACAUUACUUAAGAAUGUCAAUUAAAUUUCCAAGUCACUGUUACCUUUCUAUACUAUCUGAAAAUCGCUAGUUACAUCCAGAUCUCUUUAAGACAAAUGACUGAGUCUAGACUGGAACCAAAUGAGUUACAGUUGAGCAUUGUCAGAUGUCAGGCAUUCCAUAACAGGUGACACUAUUCUUACCAUGUGAUAUUUGAUUAUCAGUCAUUCCAUCUUAAUACCUCUGGGAAGGAGAAUAGCUUUGCAGCAUCAGCAAAAACUGGAAAUUUGUUACAUUACAACUGGAGUUUUGUUAUAUUAACCUUGCACAUUUCAGGGAUAGACAGAAAAUGAAGACUAUGAGGAUACUGACGUUAACUCACAGACAAGAAAGGCUUUAGUUCUUUUAUGGAUAUUUACUUGUACAACAGGACCUGAUUUUCCCUUAAUCAGCAGGUUACUCCCGCUGUAGAGGUACAGAUAUUGUUUGCUUACACAGAAAUACAUCUUUUUUUACCAUUCCCUCAUUAUUCUAUAUCUACACAAAACGUUAUGGGUUUCUUGCUUAGCCCAAACUUUACUUGAAAGGAAACCAUUUAACUAGACAAAAUCAACUGACAAAUUAAAUUAUGGUGGAAAAUUA